rnacentral:rRNA from 1 species
UACGAAGGGGGCUAGCGUUGUUCGGAAUUACUGGGCGUAAAGCGCGCGCAGGCGGCCUUUUAAGUCUGAUGUGAAAGCCCACGGCUCAACCGUGGAAGGUCAUUGGAAACUGAAAGGCUUGAGUACAGAAGAGGAAAGCGGAAUUCCACGUGUAGCGGUGAAAUGCGUAGAGAUGUGGAGGAACACCAGUGGCGAAGGCGGCUUUCUGGUCUGUAACUGACGCUGAGGCGCGAAAGCGUGGGGAGCAAACAGG